rnacentral:rRNA from 1 species
GGGACCUACGGGACGCAGCAGUGGGGAAUAUUGCACAAUGGGGGAAACCCUGAUGCAGCAACGCCGCGUGAAGGAAGACGGUUUUCGGAUUGUAAACUUCUGUUCUUAGUGAAGAAGAAUGACGGUAGCUAAGGAGCAAGCCACGGCUAACUACGUGCCAGCAGCCGCGGUAAUACGUAGGUGGCAAGCGUUAUCCGGAUUUAUUGGGUUUAAAGGGUGCGUAGGCGGAAUGCCAAGUCAGCGGUAAAAUCGCGGGGCUCAACCUCGCUCCGCCGUUGAAACUGGCGUUCUUGAGUGGGCGAGAA